rnacentral:rRNA from 1 species
UACAGAGGUCCCAAGCGUUGUUCGGAUUCACUGGGCGUAAAGGGCGCGUAGGCGGAUUGCCAAGUCGGUGGUGAAAUCGUUCGGCCCAACCGGACAAGUGCCGCCGAUACUGGCAGUCUCGAGGGAGGUAGGGGUCGAGGGAACUGGUGGUGGAGCGGUGAAAUGCGUAGAUAUCACUAGGAACGCCGGUGGCGAAAGCGCUCGACUGGACCUCUUCUGACGCUGAGGCGCGAAAGCCAGGGGAGCAAACGGG